GUGCUGCCUUCAGCAGCACCCAUGCUAAAAAAUUGGAACAAUACAGAGACUAUUACAAAGGCCCCUGCACAAGGGUGACAUGCAAAUUCAUGAGGUGUUUCAAUUUAUU
ensembl:snRNA U6 U6 spliceosomal RNA